AUUGAACGCUGGCGGCAGGCUUAACACAUGCAAGUCGAGCGAGCGGCGGACGGGUGAGUAAUGUCUGUGAAACUGCCUGAUGGAGGGGGAUAACUACUGGAAACGGUAGCUAAUACCGCAUACCAUCAGAUGUGCCCAGAGGGGAUUAGCUAGUAGGUGGGGUAAUGGUUCACCCAGGCGACGAUCCCUAGCUGGUCUGAGAGGAUGACCAGCCACACUGGAACUGAGACACGGUCCAGACUCCUACGGGAGGCAGCAGAGGGGAAUAUUGCACAAUGGGGGCAAGCCUGAUGCAGCCAUGCCGCGUGUGUGAAGAAGGCCUUCGGGUUGUAAAGCACUUGCAGCGAGGAGGCGUUACUCGAAGAAGAAGCACCGGAUAACUCCGUGCCAGCCGCCGCGGUAAUUC
rnacentral:rRNA from 1 species